CCCUUAGAUGUCCGGGGCUGCACGCGCGCUACACUGAAGGAAUCAGCGUGCUAAAACCAUUGUCGAAAGGCAUUGGUAAACCCAUUAAAAUCCUACGUGAUUGGGAUCGGGAAUUGCAAUUAUUUCCCUUGACCGAGGAAUUCCCAGUAAGUGUGGGUCAUAAGCUCGCGUUGAUUACGUCCCUGCCCUUUGUACACACCGCCCGUCGCUGCCCGGGACUGAGCCGUUUCGAGAAAAGCGGGGACUGCUGCUGUCGGGGCUUUCGGGCCUUGGCUUCGGUGGAAACCGCUUUAAUCGCAGUGGCUUGAACCGGGCAAAAGUCGUAACA
rnacentral:rRNA from 1 species